rnacentral:lncRNA from 1 species
UAAUUCUCAUGCGAGGUUAGAAGUUAAAUCUUAGUGAUGAUAUAUACUAAGGUUUGCAUUGUAGUUAAGGAAAAAAUGACCUAUGUAACAGAGCAUUGUCAGAUAUAUUUAGGUGAUCAUAGAAUGUUGAUUCCUGACUGUAUGAAAUUUGUUGCUUGUCUGUGUUUGUCCAAAUAACUAGUUGUAGCAAGCCUGAUGUUUAGAGAGAAAAAUAAUAAAAUUUUCUCCGCGUGGGAAAAGAGAGUGUGGGCAUGCUAGUAUACUAAGUACACAAAAAUAAAUAGAUAAAUAUUAGGGAAACACAAACUUUAUUCAUAUUUAAUAAAAUACGAAUAGAGGUUCAGACUGCUUUGCACAAUACUCCACCCACUAGCCAACUUGACCUCACACCAAUUAUUGCAUAUUUACUUAGUACAAUUCUUAUGAGUAUGCCUCAAUAGUCUAAAUAGUAUCUCAAGGUAUUACCGUGAAUGUCUCAAACAAUAUCCUUACGGGGGUAAAUUUAAUUUUUAAGUGUCUCAAAUAUGUCUUC